AGAAUCAACGCUGGCGGCGUGCCUAACACAUGCAAGUCGCACGAGAAAGGGGAGCAAUCCCUGAGUACAGUGGCGCACGGGUGAGUAACACGUGAAUGAUCUACCUCCGAGUGGGGAAUAACUGAGAGAAAUCUUAGCUAAUACCGCAUAAUACCCACGGGUCAAAGCAGCAAUGCGCUUGGAGAGGAGUUCGCGGCAGAUUAGUUAGUUGGCGGGUAAUGGCCCACCAAGACGAUGAUCUGUA
rnacentral:rRNA from 1 species